rnacentral:tRNA from 1 species
UGGCUCAGUUGGUAGAGCAUGGUGCUUACAAUGCCAGGGUUGUAGGUUCGAUUCCCAC